rnacentral:rRNA from 1 species
AGAGUUUGAUCCUGGCUCAGAACGAACGCUGGCGGCAGGCUUAACACAUGCAAGUCGAGCGCCCCGCAAGGGGAGCGGCAGACGGGUGAGUAACGCGUGGGAAUCUACCCAUCCCUACGGAACAACUCCGGGAAACUGGAGCUAAUACCGUAUACGCCCUUAGGGGGAAAGAUUUAUCGGGGAUGGAUGAGCCCGCGUUGGAUUAGCUAGUUGGUGGGGUAAAGGCCUACCAAGGCGACGAUCCAUAGCUGGUCUGAGAGGAUGAUCAGCCACAUUGGGACUGAGACACGGCCCAAACUCCUACGGGAGGCAGCAGUGGGGAAUAUUGGACAAUGGGCGCAAGCCUGAUCCAGCCAUGCCGCGUGAGUGAUGAAGGCCUUAGGGUUGUAAAGCUCUUUCACCGGUGAAGAUAAUGACGGUAACCGGAGAAGAAGCCCCGGCUAACUUCGUGCCAGCAGCCGCGGUAAUACGAAGGGGGCUAGCGUUGUUCGGAAUUACUGGGCGUAAAGCGCAUGUAGGCGGACAUUUAAGUCAGGGGUGAAAUCCCGGGGCUCAACCUCGGAACUGCCUUUGAUACUGGGUGUCUAGAGUGUGGAAGAGGUAAGUGGAAUUCCGAGUGUAGAGGUGAAAUUCGUAGAUAUUCGGAGGAACACCAGUGGCGAAGGCGGCUUACUGGUCCAUUACUGACGCUGAGGUGCGAAAGUGUGGGGAGCAAACAGGAUUAGAUACCCUGGUAGUCCACGCCGUAAACGAUGAAUGUUAGCCGUCGGGCAGUUGACUGUUCGGUGGCGCAGCUAACGCAUUAAACAUUCCGCCUGGGGAGUACGGUCGCAAGAUUAAAGCUCAAAGGAAUUGAUGG